CCCUGGCACAUAGAUCUUAUUAACUUGGGCCUUGGAAUCAGAAUUUGAUUCCCGGUUUUAACCCUUUCUUGCUGUGUGACCUUGGACCGCUUCCAUGCCCCUGUCUUGAGCACCAAAUAUGGAACAAAUUUUCAUACACGAUUUCGUUUAGUCCUCAGAAUAGGGAACUUUUUAUGAUCACGAGUGACAGAAACCCAACCCAAACUGGCUUCAGCAAAUAAGAGAAUCGAAUGGUUCCUGUGGUCAGGAACGUCCUGGGGCACGGCUGGAUCCAGAGGUUCAGAUUAUGCCGAAAGAAAUCAGUUUUUCUCCGUCUCUUGGCUCGAUUUCCUUGCGAGUUGGUUUCAUUCUCCAGACAGGCUCUCUUCAGGAAAAGCAAAUGGUCCCAGUAUCCUGCCAGCUUAGAAAUCCUUCUGGUCCCCGAGGAAGGAGACAUCUUCCUUCACCAAAGUGAGGGAAACAGCCCUGGGACAGUCCUGCUUCGGGCUUCAGGUUGAAUUCAGCUUUGCUCCGUAUGUCACGACGAAUGGCAGAAACCAAGAAGGUCAAGUGGAAAUGCAUGAUUCCUCUCGAGAUCUGUACUCAGAACUGGCACACCAUUCUCCUGGGACUAAGAUGGCUGCCACAGCUCGCAACCAAUCUCCGCCAGUCUCACCCACUCACUCACUGCUGUGUGUUGAUGUGCCUUGAUACUCUGACCUGGUUGUCUGGGACUGAGGGAGCUCCUGGGACGUGGCGCUUUCAUCACGAAAACCGGGAAGUCUAGAUGACAGAUGUACUUCCUCAACUCAGCAGCCAUGGAAAUCACCUCUUAUGUCUCCUGUGUGGAGCCUAAUUGACGGAUGGACCAUGGAUUCAUCCUAACAGCUGAGCCAAAGACCACACUUCCCAGGGGCUGCUCCCAGUUAAUCACCGAAGGAGGCAGGGAUCCCGAGGAGACGUUCCCAGGAGACACAGGGUUCCUCUGGAAGCACAGGGACUUUGGUCAGCCUUCUGGAAUUUCUUAGAAUGAUACUGCAGUCUACAACCACCCAAUUUCCCUCCCUCUCUUCCUUCCUUCCUUCCAGCCUCUUCUGUCUCCCUUUUCACUUUCCCCAAUACAUCUCUUGGAUAUUUCAUCCCACCUUGGCUAUCUCAGAGGACCCCGAGUAAUGUCCCUUCCCAUCACAGAUUUGGAUAAAUCAAAAGGAAGAGAGAGGGAGGGCAGGUAAACAGCAUGAAUAAAGGUGUAGAGGUAGGAAAGUCCAGGCUAUGUUCACACCACAUGGGGAAGUGAGUCUGUCCUAUGAAGGCAUUAAAUCCCCACGCU